AUGCGGAUGAUGGAGGUAUCAGAGUUGCGCGUGGGUCACGGACCAGAGGGAAGAGGGCAAUAUAAUCGAAAAGGGUGUCUGCACGACUUCAUGUGGAGGACGAUCGAAGGUGUCGCAGUCGAGGUUGACGCACGGGAGGGCAUGGUUGUGCUUCAUGGUGAUGGCACAAUUGUGGGAUUUGUAGCUCUUAUCAACAAAGAUGACACCGAAUCACGACGCUUAAUAGCUUCAGAUUUUUCCGCCGGUGGUAGCUGA